rnacentral:tRNA from 1 species
GCGGAUGUGGUGAAAUUGGUAGACACGCAAGAUUUAGGUUCUUGUGGCGAGAGCUGUGGGGGUUCGAGUCCCUCUAUCCGCACCA